CAGAGAACACAGCACGGGAGGACGAGGAGGCCAAAACCCAUUUAACGAAACUGAAGGGAAGCCCAGUAAGAGCGGUAACAGAUGGAUGGGCAUCUGUAGCCAGAGAUACUCUUCUCAUUGUGACGAGGGGGGGGAAGAUGAAGCGCCAUCGCUGCCCCAGCUUCCAUCCUGCCAUUUAUUCCAGUGGCAGAGCCAAGAGCCAAUCAUGCCUCUCCAUUUCCCUUCUCUUCAAAUCACCUGUCUCUACGGCCCACCAAUCAGCCCAAGACUGGCGGAAGGAAAGAGUAAAAAAAGAAAGUGACGGUACAGUUGGACCUGUUUGGGCUUGAAGUUGAAGAUUGGCGUCGACAGCAUUGGCAGCAUUUCAGUCAUUUCGCUUUUAUUCCAUCCAGCACCAUAACCAUUAGUUGUUGGCCUGGACCAGUCAAUAAUGAUGCAGCAGAAAGAACUUCCAUUAAUACAAAACUGCAAGCAAUCUCCAAAGUGUGCACCUGCCAAGAACACCCCCUCGACUCUCCUCUCCAUUGCAGUCACUUCAGGACCCAAACGGUGCAAACUGCUAAAUCACUGCUGCUGGGUUUUCAUUUAAAGCCUAAAUGGUAGGCUUUGAAUGAGCCUCCUCGCUAGUU